UGUUGCAAGUGAGAUAAAAUCUCACACACUUUAAGGUUUUUGAUAUUCGUGCUGUUUCAUCAGACAGUAAAAGAAAGUGCCUAAAGUCAGGCAGAACAGACGAUGACUAAGAUGAUGCUGGAGUGUAACAUGAAGCCAAGAAAACAGGAAUAGCAGAGACAGUGAGCAGCAGUGAUGCAACCAGGGCUGCUGGUGAGCUGCUGCUCUGCUUCCUCCUUAUCUCUGC
rnacentral:lncRNA from 1 species